rnacentral:lncRNA from 1 species
UAAAAUGCGCGGAAGACUUUUAACAGAAAUAUUAACAAAGUGCAAAAGACGAUAACAUAGCACUACCUAGCAUUUGGUGUCACUACUGACGGACUACUCAGAGUUCCACAAAUAUCGAUCAGAAAGAAAUGUAUAACAAUUCUGUUUUGAUACAAUAAAACAAACAGAAAGAGAUAGAUGAGACUCAGGGCCCGCGAACGCCCGCGAACUGCCUCGGAGUCUCUGAACUGAAGGAUCGCUCCCUAGCUACUGCUGUGGUCCGUAAGCUGUAUUCUGACAUGUGCACGAAAGGGCACAGAAGUGUAGUAUCAGCACAACCGACCCCAUGUGCUGGUAAGUGCCCGGCCUAACCCCGGCGAGGUAGUGACGAGGCUAAAUCGGACCUACCAAAAUCAACCUGUACAGAUAUAUGUGAAAUAAUAGAAAGAUAACAAAAUUUAAACAGAUAAUGGGGAGGGGACAUGUUGGGGGUGUAACAGUUCAAUUAUAAGUCCAACGAACAAGAAAUGGAAUUGAAUAUAUAUCAUUAAUAAAAGAAAGCCAGUGAAUCAACAACUACACGGCAACACCUUUCAUGCUUUUACUGUCAUUUCUCACCAAAAAUGUCAAAUAUAACGUACACCCUUUGUGCUUUUACUCUCAAUACGUAGUUCACGGCAUCAUCCCUCGUGCUUUCCUAACAUAACUCUCACACCAAGGCACAGAAUGACCCUUCGUGCACAAAUAAUCAAGAAACAUGGCACGGAAAGACCCUUCGUGCAAAAUUAUCGAAACAUAGCACGGAAAGACCCUUCGUGCAUAUUCUCUCUCUUCCUCACCCAAUCAACAGUCACAACCAAACGGGAAAGGAAUAGACAACAAGAUAAGAUAUCCCGGCAAGGGAGAACAACCCUACAACAAGUCCCAGCAAGAGAGAAUAACUCAACAAUAAGUCCCGACAAGGGAGAACAACUAUACAAUAAGUCCCGGCAAGGAAAAAAUACCAAAAUUUCUUGUUUAGCUCAUUUGCUUCUCAACUAUCACUUCAUAGUUCAUUUAACAAGUAAUUACCACAAUUGUUCACUUUUUUUCGAAAUUUUAAUAGCAAUUUUGACUCACGGUCAUGCUAGAAUUGGGCGCAUAGGUAACCGUCACCAUACCUAUACACCGACUCCACAUAGCAUAGAGCAAAUAUAAUCUUAAUCCUAUUCUCUCAAGCCAAAGUUAGAUUGAACACUUACCUCGAAAGCUUCCAAACUCAACUCACGCCUCUAGGAUGGCUUUACCCCUCGAAUUCGCCUCAAAACUGGUCGAAUCUAAUCACAAUUUACUCAAAUGUAUCAACCAAUGCUAAUUAUAUCAAUUUGAAUGCAUAAGAAUGAAAUUCCCCAAGUUUUACCCAAAAAAUUCCAAAUGCCCCCUGGGCCCACAUGGUCAAAACUCGAGGUUCGAACCAAAACCGGGUUACCCAUUCCCCCAUGAGUUCAUAUAUGCAAUUUGUUUUGAAAUCGGACCCCAAAUUGAGGUCCAAAUCCCCAAUUUUAAGAAAACCUAUGUUAUACCCCAAAUCCCCAUUUUUACCCAUUGAAAGAUUUGAUUUUUAGGAUGAAAUCAUGAUAAAAGAUGUUAAAGUUUGAAGAAAUUGAGUAAAAGUUGACUUACAAUUGAUGUGGGAGAGAAGGAGUCGAGAGAAAAUCGCCAAUGGAGGUUUGGGUUUUUGAAAUUAUGAAAUGAGGUUUGAAAUCGUCUAAGUAUAGGAUGCACAGUCGCAGAUGUCGCAAUUGUGAGGUUUUGUUCGCAAUUGUAAGAAUGUAGAAGGAAUAGCGAAUGUCACAAUUGCGAGAAAUUAUUCACAAUUGUGAAGAGGGCAGAUUUUGAACGGGGUUCGCAUUUGCGAUAUGGCAAGCCAUUGGGGAAGGCUCGCAUUUGCGAGGCUGGCCAUGCAAAUGCGAAGACUGCAGAUACCAGCUGCUACAACGCUACAAAAUGAGCAUAACACCUAUCUGAAACUCACCCGAGCCCUCGGGGCUCCAACCCAAACAUGCACCCAACCUAAAAAACAUCCUACGGACUUACUCGUGCGAUCAAAUCGCCAAAAUAACAUCAAAAUCAAAGAAUCAACCUCCAAAAAUCAUGAUUUUCAUUUCAAAGUUCAAAACUUUCAAAUUUUUCAAUUUUUUGUCCGAAACACGUUAAACGAUGUCCGUUUUCAACCAAACUUUACAGAUUGCGCUUAACACUCAUUUAAGACUUGUACCGGGCGCCGGAACCAAAAUACAAGCCCGAUACCAUUACUUUUGAUGAAAUCUCAUUUUCAUUUUUCCUUAAGCAUUUUCUGAAAAUUAUUUCACAGAAAAAUUCUGUAAUCGGGCCUGACCUCGAAUUUCGAUUCCGAGAAUAUGCCCAGGUCCCAAAUUUCCCUGCGGACCCUCCGGGAUCGUAACAUCACAGGUCCGGGUCCAUUUAUCUAAAAUAUUGACCAAAAUCAACUUUAGCAAUAUUAUUAUCAAAAUUCAUAGUUUUUACUUUUUAACAUAGAAUUCAAAUAUUUCCACAUAAAAAAAAUUCCGGCUUCGCGCCCGGACCGUGCACGCAAAUUGAGGCAACCAAAUAAAAGGUUUUCAAGGCCUUAAAAGUACAAAGAAAGGGAAAAUUACGGUGAUGACCCUUUGGGUCGUCACAACGUCAGUAACAGGGACAUGUCUCAAAGGAUCGCUAGCGCAGCCUUGGAGGUAGCUUUCAUUUUCCCUUUUAUGAGUCGUAAAGGUGACUUUGGUUCAUCUUGACUUGUAUUUCCUUUCUUUCCUUUUCUUUUUAGACCCUUGUCUUAGAGGUGGAGAGGAGGCGGCGUGAGAAGAAUAAGGCGGCCACCUUCCAGAAGAUGGCAAAAAAGUACAAACAAUGUUGUGCCACGCAUCAGGCAUUGGCGGAUGUUUUUGCAGGACCCUCAGUUUCGGGUGUUCCGCGAAGGCCUAGAACAAUUGGAGGCUCAUUUGAAAUGGUGGGUGGCCGAGUUGGAGCAGGUCGACGAGCAACUGAUGGCUGCUUUGGCUUGGAACAUCGAGCUAGAGACUCUCCUUCAGUCAAAAGAAGUGGAGUUGGAGAUCAGCCGCGGGGUAGUGGCGGAGGCGGCUCAGUUACAGACAAGAGUCGCUGCUUUGACCGCUGAGCUCGAUGCCAAGGCAACUGAGGUUUAGGCCCUUAAGCGGUCUGCUUUGUCAAAGCCCGAAGAUGACGCACAUCGUGAGGCGCACGAAAUGUGGGUGUAUGCCGAGGCUAGACUGGUCGUACUUGAGGAGUACUUAUCUGUAGGUCUAGCCACUGAGGCGGUGGUUGAGGAGAAACGACGCUUAUCCCAUGUUUCCCGUGCCACUUGUGGUUAUAACUCUGACUCACCCGAUGGCGCGGCUACAAUUUUGAAGGCAUCAACCAUCUAGAGUCUGGCUCUUGGAUCUCAAAAACUUACCACCCCGGGGUGAUGGCGAACAAAACAGACUGAAGCGGCGAAGUCUCUUAGGAUUUGUAUAUAUUUUUCUCUCUCCUCUUUUUUGGAUGUAACCGGGACCUUUUUUUCAGGUUCAGAUGUACACGUAUUUUUGGAGAUAAUGAAACAUAGCUUUUCUGGUAAUUUAUUAUUUUUUUGCUCAUUGUUUCUAUGGUGCCCCGUCUUCGUAGAACGAGUGCUCAUUUACUUGUUGGACUAUUACUGCAUUUCAGCUUGUUGUUCAAGUGCUUUGUGCUGCCGUGAACUAGGUCGACAAUUAAUGGAGAACGAUCAAACUAGGUCACUGUUUUGACAUCUAUGGCCUUAGCCGUAUGUGUGUCUUUGGCCUAUUUCGGGUCGUUAAUUUGUCGUAGCCAAUCUUAAUGGCCUCAACCAAUGAUAGCGUGGAUGGAAUUAGCCAUAUAAUUUUGACAGCCUUAGCUGUGAGUGUGACUUCGACUGUCAUCAAGUCACUCACUUAUUUGCCGUGGUCGAUUUGGGUCGACUGUUGGCGGUGAUGGAUAACAUUGGUCAUAACUUGUUUAUGGCAUUGGCCGUAUGGGUGAUUUCGACUUUCGUAAUCACUUGCUUGCCAUAGUCGAACUAGGUCAACUGUUGGCGGCGAUGGACUUAGCCAUGAUGAAGUCGAUGGCCUUGGCCAGAAUUAAGUUGAUGACCUUGGUUAUAACUUGUUGAUGGCCUUGGCCGUGUGGGUGACUUCGACUGUCGUUGAAUCACUUGCUUUCCGUAGUCGAGCUGGGUCGACUGUUGGUGGCGAUGGCCUUAGCCAUGAUGAAGUCGAUGGCCUUGGCCUGAAUUAAAUUGAUAACCUUGGUCAUAACUUAUUGAUGGCCUUGGUCGUAUGGGUGACUUUGACUGUCGUCGAAUCACUUGCUUGCCGUAGUCGAACUGGGUCGACUGUUAGGUUGAUCUUUGGUCAUAACUUGUUGAUGGCCUUGGCCGUAUGGUGAUUCCUACAGAUGUCGAAUCAUUUUCUUGUCGUAGGCAAACUAGGUCGACUGUUGGUACCAAUGGCCUUAGCCAUGAUGAAGUCGAUGGCCUUGGCCAGAAUUAAGUUGAUGACCUUGGUCAGAACUUGUUGAUGGCUUUGGCCAUAUGGGUGACUUCGACUGUCAUCGAAUCACUCGCUUGCCGUAGUUGAACCGGGUCGGUUGUUGGCGGCGAUGACCUUAGCCAUUUAUACAUUGGAGAUAGUCGUAGUCAUUUAUUCAUUAGAGAUAGCCAUAGCCAUUUAUUUAUUGGACAUAGCCGUAGCUGUUUAUACAUUGGAUAUAGCUGUAGCCAUUUCUAUAUUGGAGAUAGCCGUAGCCUUAUACAUUGGACAUGGUCGUAGCCAUUUAUACAUUGGAGAUAGCUAGUCCAGUCCCUUUAUCACGUUGGCAUGGAGAGCGUAUGUAGAGGUUUAUAUGAUAAACUUGUUCCUCAAAUAUCUCCAGGUGUCCCCUCUGCCGCCUCAUUAAAAACCUCACAGAGAAAACCCAAUUUGGACAAAACUCGGGUAAGGGAAAAAGAGUACAACUCGGGAGACGCCUUUCAGAAAUGGAAAUACUUGAGGUGGGCGACAUUCCAAUUGUUUGUAGCAUUUUUCCUUCCAUUGUUUCCAACUGGAAUGAUCCUUUAUUGGCUGCUGCUGCGAUCUUGUAGGGUCCAUCCAAUUAGUGCCCAGUUUUCCUCCUUCCAUUGUUUCCAAUUGGAAUGCUCCUUUAUUGGAUGCUGCUAUGAUUUUGUAGGGUCCGUCCCAGUUAGUGCCCAAUUUUCCUUCGCUUGGGUCAUUGGAUACCAAUGUCUUGGCUUUGAGGACAUAGUCUCCCACUUUGAGUGGUCUUAUCUUGGCCCUCUUCUUGUAGUACCUUUUGACCUAUUGGUUGUGGGCCACCAUUCUGAUGUGGGUCAUUUCUCUUCUUUCCUCGGCUUCAUAGAGGUCUUGGAGCCUGUUCAUGUCAUUUUCUGUUCCGUUGGUGUAUGAGUACCUCAAGCUUGGUUCACCGACCUCGAUUGGUAUGACCGCGUCGGUUCUGUAGAGCAGUGAGUAUGGUGUUUCCCCUGUGCUAGAUUUGGAUGUGGUCCGAUGGGCCCACAAUACUUCUGGAAGUAGCUCAGGCCAUAGCCCUUUGGCUUCCUCAAGUUUCUUUUUUAGUAUAUUUAAUAUUGUCUUGUUGGAGGAUUUUUCUUAGCCAUUGGUGGUGGGAUGGUAUGGCGUUGAGAAUAUUCACUUGAUAUGCCAUUUUCCAAAGAAUUCUGUCAUUUUUUGACCGAUAUAUUGUCGUCCCUUGUCACAGCUGAUUUCCUUGGGGAUACCGAAGCGACAUAUGAUAUUUUUCCAUAUGAAGGCGAUGACCUCCUGUAGGCGUAUUUGAGCGUACGCACCUGCUUCCACCCACUAGGAGAAAUAGUAAGUUAAAACUAGUAAAAAUAAUACCUUUCCUCGUCCCGCGGGUAGGGGUCCGACUAUGUCCAUUCCUUAUUUGAUGAAGGGCCAUGGGAAGGUGACCGAGUAAAAGGGUUCUCCUGGUUGGUGUAUCAUGGGGGAAUACUUUUGGCAAUAUUUGCACCCGAACGUAUUCCAAAGCUUUUUUCUUCAUGGUAGGCCAGUAAUAGCAGGCCCGUAUGAGGCAUCGCACGAAGGCACGGUUACCUAUAUGGGAGCCGCAAUGAACCUCACGUGCUUCUUCGAGCUGGCUUCGUUUGGUGUGUCCUUAGACAUUUAGCCAAGGAUCCGCCGAACGUCCUUUUGUAGAGGAUUUUGUUUAUCAAGCAAUAUCGGGCGGCUUGUAUGGGGAGUUUUUUUGCCUCUUCUUUGUCGAGUGGUAGCGUUCCAUCCAAUAGGUAGGAUACAAAUUGGUUGCGCCAGUCCUAAGUCAGAUUUAAAGAGAAUACCUCAGUAUAGUCGAUGGCUGAAUGGAGGAGGGUGACCACGCUUUCUUUGCAAAAAAUUUUAAUGGUCAUGGCAAGUUUUUCUAGGUCGUUUGCUUCGACGUUCUUUGCCCUCGAAAUUUGCUCGAAGCAGCACUCGUCGAACUCGGCCACCAGCCUAUGGAUUUUUGACUGGUAUUUCUGCAGUAUUUGUUCUUUUAUUUGGUAAGUCUCAGCGACCUGAUUCACCACAAGUUGGGAUUCGCAAUAGAGGAUGAUUUGUCGAGCCCCAUAUUUGAUGUCUAGUUUCAUACUUGCAAUAACGGCCUCGUACUCGGCCUCAUUGUUAGUCAUUUCAGGGCAUCGUAUGUACUUCGUAUUUUUUCGCUCGUGGGAACCUUGAGAACGAGUCCCACUCCUUAUCCCGAUGCAUUGGCGGCACCAUCAGUAUAGAGAUUCCAUAGGUCGGUAUUGGAGGAGGCACGUUGUGCCUCACAUUCCGCUUCUGGCGGGAUUUCUGCGCUGAAAUCCACUAUAAAAUCGGCAAGUACUUGCAACUUGAUGGCGGUUCUUGGGUGGUACGAGAUGUCGUGCUCGCUAAGCUCAAUGGAAAAUCUGGCGAGCCGGCUUGAUAAUUCAGGCUUGUGUAGGACGCUUCUCAACGGGAAGGUCGUAACCAGUUUUAUGGGGUGGCAUUGAAAAUAGGGCCAGAGUUUUCGUGAAGCCACGACCAAUGCCAGAGCUAACCUCUCAAGGUGCGAAUACUGUGUUUCGGCGUCCACCAAGGUUUUGAUAAUGUAAUAAAUAGGGGAUUGCGUACCUUCAUUUUUGUGGACCAAGACUACGCUAACGACAACCUCGGAUACGGCCAGAUAAACCAGCAGGGGUUCGCUUGGUCUUGCUUUGUCUAGCAGGGGCGGUGACGAUAGGUACGCUUUUAGCUUUCUCAAGGCAUCAGCACAUUCCUCCUUCCACUGUAACCCUUGGUCCUUUUCAGUACAUUGAAAAAUUUAUGGCACCUGUCGGAGGACCACGAGAUGAAUCUGGAUAGAACGGCUAUCCGUUUUAUCACCUUUUGUACCUAUUUUUUGCUGUUCAACACCUUAAGUAUUGCAUCUACCGCCUUGAUCUGGUAUAGGUUGUCCUCAAUGCCUCGUUGUGAUACGAGAAAUCCUAAGAAUUUUCCUGAGGCCACGCCAAAGGCGCACUUCUCUUGGUUUAGCUUCAUUCUGUACCUCCUCAAUAUCUCGAAGGCUUCCUUUAGGUGGUUGAUGUGGUCUUCUUUCUUUGCUGAUUUUACCAGCAUGUCAUCGAUAUAGACUUCUAUGGUAUUACCGAGUUGUUCUUUGAACAUCUUGGUGACCAGUAUCUGGUACAUAGCUCCUGUAUUUUUGAGUUUGAAAGGCAUAGCCUUGUAGCAAUAUGUCCCUUGGCUCGAUAUAGACUUCCAUGGUCUUACCGAGUUGCUCUUUGAACAUCUUGGUGACCAGCCUCUGGUACGUAGCUCCUGCAUUUUUUAGCCCGAUGGGCAUUACCUUGUAGCAAUAUUUCCCUUGGUGGGUGAUGAAAGUUAUUUUCUCCUGGUCCUCCUCGGCCAUCAUGAUCUGAUUGUAGCCGGAGUAAGCGUCUAGGAAGCUUAGAAGCUCGUGUCCCACAUUGGCAUCGAUAGUUGGUCGAUGUGGGGCAGUGGUAGUGAAUCCUUAAGUCACACCUUAUUCAGGUCAUUGAAGUCCACGCACAUUCUCCAUUUCCCAUUUUUCUUUUUAACCAUGACAACAUUGGUGACCCAUUGGGGGUAUUUUGAUUCCCUGAUAGAGCAGUUGGCCAGUAGUUUGUCUACUUCCUCACUGACCGCUUCAUUGAUAGAGGCGUUGAAUUUCCUUCUCAUUUGCCACACAGGCGGUUGUAGUGGGUCAACGUUUAGCUUAUGGGUGGAGAUGUCUCGUGGGAUCCUUGUCAUAUCUGAAUGUGAAAAAACAAACAGAUCUGCGUGGUUAGUUAAAAACUCAUGAUACUUACUUGGAUUAGUGAGGUCGUGCCCGACGUAGGCUUUCUUCAUAAGGUCAGCGUCGUCUAGUUGGAUUGGGUCAAGAUCUUCGAUCGUAUAUUUACAUGCCUCUACGGUAUCAGAAAUCUAAUAGCGUCCCUUGUCGGGUCGACUUUGUUCCCCGACAUAGCUGAUUGAUAUGCCUCUGCACUCGCCCCCUUAAGUUGUUUGGUAUGGGCGCAAUCUUGAGCUAUUUUGUAGCAUUCCCUUGUGGUGCAUGGAUCGCCUCGGAUGCUGAAUAUUCCCCACGGGUAGGGAAUUUGAUCACUUGCUAAAAGCUUGACGGGACCGUGCACAUGGCGUGUAUCCACGGGCAUGGAUGCUUAAUAUUCCCCAUAGGGUAGGGAAUUUGAUCACUUGAUAAAAGCUUGAUGAGACUGCUCAUAUGGCGUGUAUCCAUAAGUGUCUUAUGAUGGCGUUGAAUGUCGUUUCCUAGUUCAUUACGUGGAAAGUUAUUUCCAGCAUGACUCCUCCCGCUAAUUUACAUGCCUCUAUGGUAUUAGAAAUCUAAUAGCGUCCCUUGUCGGGUCGACUUUGUUCCCCGACAUAGCUGAUUGAUAUGCCUCUGCACUCGCCCCCUUAAGUUGUUUGGUAUGGGCGCAAUCUUGAGCUAUUUUGUAGCAUUCCCUUGUGGUGCAUGGAUCGCCUCGGAUGCUGAAUAUUCCCCACGGGUAGGGAAUUUGAUCACUUGCUAAAAGCUUGACGGGACCGUGCACAUGGCGUGUAUCCACGGGCAUCCUGUGAUGGCGUUGUACGCCAUUUCCUGGUUCAUAACAUGGAAAGUUGUUUCCAGCAUGACUCCUAGAUGCUUAAUAUUCCCCGUGGGGUAGGGAAUUUGAUCACUUGAUAAAAGCUUGACGAGACUGCUCAUAUGGCGUGUAAUCCAUAAGUGUCUUAUGAUGGCGUUGUAUGUCGUUUCCUAGUUCAUUACGUGGAAAGUUAUUUCCAGCAUGACUCCUCCCGCUAAAACGGGCAUGGAUAUUUCUCCGGAGGUCCGUUCCACUGCAUUAUUGAAACCAAUUAUUGUUAUUCAGCACGAUAUUAUCUUAUCCUCGAGUCCCAUUUGUAUGAGGACCCUCAGGUGGAUAAUACAGGCGCCGCUUUUGUCAUCAAUCAUGAUUCUUUCAAUAUAUGUAUCUGCGAUAUGUAAAGUGAUAACUAAAGCAUCAUAGUGAGGGAAAGACAAACCAUCGGCAUCGGGCUUAUCGAGGGUGUUACUAUCUUCGAAGUCGUCAUAUCGUUCGUGGGCGAUGGUUCACUUCAGUUUGUGCGUGCCAGUGAGUUUGACAUGGUUGAUUGCUGAGUCGUCGCCACCUCCGACAAUCAUAUUAAUUAUAUGUGCCGGGGAGGGAGGCUUAGGCGGUCUGUGGGGUUGCUCAUGUCCACGUGCAAAGUUAGUUUUCCCUUUGUUGCUGAGUGGCUCCCUCGGGUACUCCUGAUUUAGAAUUCUGACCACUUCUUGCUGUAAGCCUACGCAGUCCUCGGUUUUAUGCCCUUGUUCCUAGUGGAACUCACACAGGACGUUUGAUUUUCUUGUGGUGGGGUCUGAUUUCAUCUUCGUUGGCCAUUGUACCUUGCUGCCCAGUUUCUCUAGUGUGUACAUUAUCUGUGAAGGAGAAACACAAAAGUUAUUGGCAGAUAAUAAAUGAGGCAUACCUUUUUCAUUUCGGAAUGGAGCGACAUGUCGUUAUAGCACAUCCAUGUGUCUUGGUGGCAGUGGAUGGGAGGAUCUAACAUAAGUCUGGUGCCUUUCUUUGUUGAGACGCGAAAUUUGUUCCCGCCUUCCCUUGAUGCGUCGAUCCCUUCUAAUUUCUGGAUAUAUUGUCGUCAACUGUUGGGUCGGCCCAUUGGGGUCGUCCUCGUCUGUUCUUACCUCGGCACAGUAGGCAUUAUGGAUUUUUUCCCAUAUGGUAGGUGGGUGCUUCAUGAUACGGCUUAAUAGCUUUUUGGUCUCCCUCAAACCAUCUCUGCUUAUCCCAUUCUGGAAAGCGGCCACCGCCAUUCCUUCUAAUACGUUGGGUAAGCUCAUCCUCACCCUGUUAAACCUGGCUAGGAAGUCCCUGAGUCCUUCUCCUGCAGUUUGACGGAUGGCGAAGAUAUCAUUAACCCUUGCUUAUGCUUUCUUUGCUCUUGUAUGGGCAGUGACGAACUUGUCCGUCAUUUCUUCAAACAUGGAAAUGAUCUUAGCUGGUAUCUAGGAGUACCACAUCAGGUCUCCUUCUGUCAACAUUUCAUCGAACUUUUUCAGCGGCACUGACAGCACCUGUUCCUUUGAUAGGUCGUUGCCCUUUACAGCCGUGACAUAGUGGAUCAGAUGAGCGUGCCAUCGUUGGCAUGUACCUCGCCUGGCAUGUCAUUUUCUCGUGCCAUUUCAGGUUCAGCCAUGUCGGCUGUAAGAUUUACUGUCGGUGCACAUCCGAUGUUACCUUGUGGUCACUUUUCGAUCAAGCCACUUGGGGCACCUGUUAGCCAUUCUUCCAGUAGCUUUUUGACCUCUGGGGGUACUUCUAUGGUUGUAGAUGUAGAAGCACCCUUUUCCCGCAAGAUCGUCAGAUCUCCAGGUGGGGGAAGUGGGAUCUCCCCACUCGUUGUGGUGCUAGGGGUUGUAAUCGAAACACCCUCUUCACCGGCAUCAUUGAGAAGACCGGUGAGGUUGGUUGCAACAUCUGCUAUCGCUUUCAUUCUUACGCUGUAUUCAGCCAUUUUCGUUCAUGUGGUGUAGAGAAUAGUUGUUGGUUGUUCUCUAGGUGCAAACUAUGAUUUUGAUUCUCGAAAUCCCCACAGACGGUGCCAAAUUGUUUGGCUCAAAAGUUAUAGAUAUACUUUUAAAGCUUAGAAACAAUCAAAAGAUAACAAGGGUAAAUUGUAAUCAAAUAUAAUUAGACCUAGAGGUAAAAUGGACAAUUUUGUAGUUAUAGAUCUCAAAGAUAAAGAUAAUAAUCUUAUCUUAAGAGAGAAACAAUUGUAGGACACAGAGAUAGAGAUAGAGAUAGAGAUAGAGAGAGAAGUUGUAUUAUUCGAGAAUAAUCAUGAUGCAUGUUACAUGGAAAUGUCUCGCUUAUAUAGUAGGAGAUCUUCCUUGAAAUAAUCAAAGAAAAAGUACAAAAGUAGGUGGUUUCCGCUUAGUGAAGAAGUUAAGCUCUAAACGAUGUCUCAUUCACCCCACGCCCGGGCCGUGCCCUCACUCUGAUCGGUAUCUACCCAUUGGACGUACACGUUGGCGUGGGGACGUUGACGGCCAAAUUUGACCCUAUACAACACGCAUCAAAAAUAUUCUUUAUCCAAACUGUUUGGGUCUGGAAAUUAAACAAGAAAAUCCAUAAUCACGAAUCGAUAUUCCUUACCAUCCAAGUGAAUGCGUGAAAUAAAAAAGACAAUCCGUGCUUAUAUAUCCUCAUUAUAAAAGAAAGGAGAAUGCAUAAAUAAGUUGAUGACAAUCAGAACUUGCUAAUUUAAGCAAUUAUGUGCUAGCAUAUUGUCCCGUUACAAAAUUUCCUAAGCUAAAUGAGCCAUAAUUUUGUUAUAAUAAUUUAACACAACAGCAUUUUACCGAGCAGAAUAAGACCGCAUAUACAAUUGGAAAAGCCAAACCCGUGCUGAGAAAACCAAAAAGAAACAUUGAUAUUGUUCCUAUAUCGAUCUCGAGCAGUAUGCUUGGACCCAUGUUCAUAAUUAUGACAUUAAUAAUAGCGUAAAUCAAUAUUCCUCCUGUUGGGAUACCAUUAUCGUUGAGCUCUUUUGGUCUUCAAGAUUGGAAGUCGAAGGAGACGUUAAUUCUGGCCCUGUGGGAGUAAUACUGUUGCUAUUAUUAUUAUUAUUAUUAUUAUUAUUAUUAUUAUUAUUAUUAUUAUUAUUAUAGGAGUAGUUUUCGAUCUGGCGGAGAGAGAGGCGGAAGGGGAAGUUAUUAAUUAGCAGUAUGAUUACUAGUAGUGAGAAUGAAAUGUUCAUGUAAAGAGAAGAGAAGAGGAAAUUACCACUUUUGUAGCCAUUGUUGCAAAACCUAUGUAGAGGAAGCAACUCCGGGCUUCCUUCGUUCCACGUAGGGUGGAUUUUUUUAUUUUUUAUUUUUGGUUGGUUUAGGAAUUUAGGAUUUAGUACUUCGGCAUGUCCUUUGCUUUUCUUCUUCGGAUUCCU